rnacentral:rRNA from 1 species
UACGAAGGGGGCUAGCGUUGCUCGGAAUCACUGGGCGUAAAGGGUGCGUAGGCGGGUCUUUAAGUCAGGGGUGAAAUCCUGGAGCUCAACUCCGGAAUUGCCUUUAAAACUGCAUCGCUAGAGUUGUGGAGAGGUAAGUGGAAUUCCGAGUGUAGAGGUGAAAUUCGUAGAUAUUCGGAAGAACACCAGUGGCGAAGGCGACUUACUGGACACAUACUGACGCUGAGGUGCGAAAGCGUGGGGAGCAAACAGG